UCCAGAGGGUGCGAUCGUUAAUCGGAAUUACUGGGCGUAAAGCGCACGUAGGCGGCUUGGUAUGUCGGGUGUGAAAACCCCGGGCUCAACCUGGGAACUGCAUCCGAAACUGCCUUGCUCGAGUAUGGGAGAGGGAAGUGGAAUUUCCGGUGUAGCGGUGAAAUGCGUAGAUAUCGGAAGGAACAUCAGUGGCGAAGGCGACUUCCUGGACCAAUACUGACGCUCAGGUGCGAAAGCGUGGGGAGCUAACAGG
rnacentral:rRNA from 1 species